rnacentral:rRNA from 1 species
UACGUAGGGUGCAAGCGUUAUCCGGAAUUAUUGGGCGUAAAGAGCUCGUAGGCGGUUUGUCGCGUCUGCUGUGAAACCCCGAGGCUCAACCUCGGGCCUGCAGUGGGUACGGGCAGACUAGAGUGCGGUAGGGGAGAUUGGAAUUCCUGGUGUAGCGGUGGAAUGCGCAGAUAUCAGGAGGAACACCGAUGGCGAAGGCAGAUCUCUGGGCCGUAACUGACGCUGAGGAGCGAAAGCGUGGGGAGCGAACAGG